AUACAAAUAAUCUAUAUUUUGAGCAAUACGGUCAAAAAAGGUAAACGAAAUCGAUCCACAUAGAACAUUUAAUCAUUUUUAAUCACUUGUUGGAGUUUUUAGUCUUCCUUUUACUAUAAGUGACCUAAACAUUUGUGAUGUAAUGUAUACAAAAUAUAUACUGUUAUUCAUUAUUUUUUUAUUGUUAUUAUAUACCGUUUUUUAUAAAAGUUAAGCGCAUGUGCAUUAUAAACUAGACGUUCUUCGUAUUGACUUUAAAGUUAUAAGUCUUAAAAAACCCUAAACGUUAAUAAGAACUCUCGCAAAUGAAUUUCCAUGGAAUGUGUUCUAUUGUCGGUUGUAUGAUUUCUAAUAUUGUUAGUGCGUUUGGUGAUCUUCCUUAGGUUUUUUCUUUAAAAUAAUAAUGUAUCCCAUAAUAUAAUGUUAGUUUAAACUAUACGGUCACGAAAGGUAAACGAAAUCGAUCCUCAUAGAACAGUUAAUCAUUUUUAAUUAUUUGUUAGGAGUUUUUAGUUUUUCCAGUUAUAUAAGUGACCAGGAUAUUUGUGAUGUAAUGUAUACAAAAAUAUAUGCUGUUAUUAAUCAUUUUUUGAUUGUUUUUAUAUACCGUUUUGUAAAAAAGUUAAGCGCUUGUGCAUUAUAAACUGGACGUUCCUCGUAUUGACUUUAAAAUUAUAAAACUUAAACACACCCUUAACGUUAAUUACAACUCUCGCAAAUGAAUUUCCAUGAAUUGUGUUCUGUUGACGAUUUUUUGAUUUCCUAUAUUGUUAGUGCUUUUGGUGACUUUCCUCAAAUUCUGUUUUUCAAAUAAUUUAUCCCAUAAAAUAACGUUAUUUUAAACAAUACGGUCACGAAAGCUAAACGAAAUCGAUCCUCAUCGAAAAGUUAAUUAUUUUUAAAUACUUUCCAUUAUUUUUAAUUUUGUUCUUUGAUGAUUUUAUUUUUCUUUAUCCCUCUUACUUUUAAGAUAUUUAAGUUUUGAUUUUAAGUUAUAAAUGAUUUUGGAAAAUUUUCAAUUUCACGAUUUUAGAUUUUUUAGUAUCAUUGACGAUGUCCUCUUCCAGAAAGAUCUAUUACAUUUGAACUUUUCAAAACUUUUUUUUAUUAUCUUUUUGAUCUACCUUCUUUCUGUAUCUGUGCCACAACUUUUUAAUUAUGUUUGAGCAUUUUAGGAAUAUUGAUGAUUUGGCUCUGUUUUUUGGUCAUUCUGUUUUACAUGGACGUAGAAAGUACAUAUUUGGUAAUAAGAUUUAUAAAAUCGUCUUUUGGAAAUCGCAAAAUUUUCGAAAUCAUAAGGCGACUAUUUAAUUUUUUUACACAGUUAUAAUUUUUUUUUAUAUAUAUUGUAUUUUACGUUUAUCCUAGAUAUUUUUUUUCGAUGUAUAUAUGUGGUAAUUUUUUUGAAUUUCAUUUUUAUCAACUUGGUUAAUACAUUCGUCUUACUAUGAUUCUUGAAACGGUUUUUAAAAUUAAAAGGAUUAACCUGGUAAAAUACAAUUUUUUCACAAAUUCGUUUAUUUUAAAUAAUUUCCAACAAACGUUGUCUACCACAAAUAUUACUUUUAUGAAUAAUGACAAGAAGCCUUUUUUGUUAAAUUUUUAAUUUUUAAUUUAAUUUAAUUUAAGUUUUUUAAUCUUUGAACUAUGCUUCAUAAUUAUCGAGAAAUAACUUAGGUGGUUGUGUGGGAUGGCUCUUUAUAUAUCUUAUAUUAUAUAUUUCUAUAAUUAUUAUGUAUUUUUCGUAUUACCUAUUAAUUUUUUGUUUUCCGGAGUUUUUUUCAGGUACAAUGCAUCUCGAUUUCGGGUCGUCAUGUUUCGAGGGACCACUGUAUAGGUACAACGUUCUACCCACACGUCCUUCAUCCUUUUCCCCUUUUCAAGGAGUAAAACUAUAAUUAUACCAUAUAAGUACGGUUCAUGUGUUUUUCAAGUGGCGAUAUACUAUACUACGUAUUUGGACGUAGUUAUAAUACAGUUUAUAUUAAUUUAAGGCAACCAACUUUACUUUCCGUUCACAUUCACUUCGUCGUUAUAUUGCCAUGAAUAAUUGCUUUUCGAACAACUUAUUAAUUUAAUAACACAACUAAUAUGAUAUGAGUGUGCCUGUAUUAUACGUUGAUGGUUAUUUCGAACUUCGAACUUAUUAAUAAAAACCGUUGUUAUUAAUUCAGUUAACUUAACAUGGUUUCGUGCAGUGUUCGUUAACUUCCUCAACAUACCGUGCCAUAAACAUAUAAAAUUAUUAUAACACGUUGUAAUGCGUGCUGUAUGCGAAAUAUGAUCAAACGGUGUCCGAACUAAUUAAAGGAAAACUAAAUAAUAUAAUAUAUUACAUUUGCAUAUUAUUUGAUCUUGAAUUUGAAUUAUUUACUAAUUUAAAGAAGUUAUCAUUUUCAAAAAUUGUCUAUAAAAAUAAAAUAUCAUUAAAUUUGUAUAGAAAUAAAUGUACGUUUUAUUAAAUUUGAUUUUCGUAAGAGGACAACGGUUUUAACAAUUAAUACCAAAUUCGGCAAAAAUUAACAACUGCAGAGUAAAAAAAUAAAAAAAAUACCUAUAAGAAAUCAAAAAUAAUAUUUUCGAUAUUUUUGUUUUCGCUAUCUAGGUUUGAAUUUUAAUAUCAUUGUAUACGGAGUGCAGAUUUUUUAUUAUACAGUUUUGAAAAAGAAGAAAAAAAUACGAUUAUAUUACGAUAUAAUAUUUCAAAUGUUUAUAUUACAUUACGUACCAUUGAACUUUGAUUGUUGCCGCUGGAAAUCGUGUAAAUGUAGACAUUAAAAAAAUAAAAAAAACAUGUAUUCAACCGUUUAAAUUUUUCUUUCACGACGACCCUUUAAAUAUUUAACCAUUACAGCUGCGCCGCACACUCAACAAAAUAUAAUGAUACUCUUUGUGGCGAAAACUAUUCACUCAUUCGUGUUAAGAACAGCUAUUGUAUCGUAGUAUAACACGCCACACACGCAGUUAAAAAGUGAACUUUACCGUUACUGUCUAUAUUAUGUAUUAUAAUAUUUAAGCAUUCGGAUAAAGGGAUAAAGCGUAUACAGAAAGUUUGAGAAUACAAGUUACUGAGAAUAUUUGAAAAAAAAAAAAUAAUAAUAAUAAUAAAAGUUUACGAUGGAACUACAUAAAUGAAACUAUAAAAAUUUCUGUUGCUGUUUUAUGUACACAUACCUUUAUAAUAUAUAUAUAUAUAUAUUAUUUUUUUCAUCGUCUUCGUUUUAUGGCGGCGGCGGCGGCGGCGGUAUAGGUAUAUACAACUAUAUAAGACGACGAAUUCAAAUAUAAUAUCGUAUACUGUAGCAACAGUAACAGCAAGUGAAUAUUGUGAUUUAUAAUAAUGCGAUGUUAGGCAGGACGAUUCUAGCAGGAGAAUUGUUAUUAUAGCCAAUCGAUUGCACUGUCAGUUACUAUAAUAUGGGUAGGCACUCUUGGGAUUUUAAAACCGGAGUAUAAUGUCUUUUUUUUCUUUUAACCAACAAAACGCUAAACGAAAUACACGUGUGUAUUAUUACGAUUAUAUUUAAUUAUUUACGAGUGCAUAUUUUUAUCACGAUUCGGACGAUUCAUAUUGUUGCAAAAUUAUUUCAAUCGGUCGCGAGUAAAAAUCGUGUAAUAAUCUACAUGGGCUCAGUUUGAGACGUUUAUUAAAUAAGAGUUGCAUCUUAUAGAGAUUUGUAUUUCAUCUAUAUACAGAAUUCUCAGAUUGUCUUCAGAUACUUGUAAUAAAUCUCUAUGUAUACAAAGGUGCAGUACAACACUAUAGUGAAAAAAAUAUAGGUCUUUACCGAAUAAUUUCGAUACUGCGCUCGACCGUUUUCCAAUAUUUAAACGGAUCUCCGUUGCUCACGCUCCGUGUAAUUUAUACCACCGCACUCGGUUUCACAUAAUUUACGUGUAUACAAAAACAUUUAUAUUUUAUGUAUAUUUUCUCGUGCGUGAACUUUUGUCCGUGUUUCUCUUCCCGUUAUUUCUCGUCCGUUUUCUCUCUAUCGCGUACGCGCACACACACGUGACGUUUAUACAGCCUUUACCGCCGUUACUAUAUCGCAUUAUAUACGCGGAAAAGGACAUUCAAAGGGCCUUGGCGGUAAAGUUGCUAUACGUCACAUAAUAUAUUACAUAAAACGGUGGCGGUAUUAUAAUAUAACCGUUGUCGUAAAAUGAUUUAUUGCCUGGGGUUUGAUUCUCCUCGCCUCCGAGAACUGGAGGAUGGUUUGCCGUUCGUUCGUGAUACGUGUACGACUCGCACGCGCGCACUUGCACACGUUUGCGAAUUAAUCAACCGGAACAUUCACGAUUCGACUUUGCACACCGAUGGCCUCGGGAUAUUCUUUGGCGUCGAUAUAGGACGGGGGAUAUUAUUCUGCACAUCGGUAUAUAUAAUAUACUAUGCAGUAUUUUUUUUUGUUCUUUUUUUUUUUUUUAUCAGAUUACCACUACCAUUUUGACUAGAGUGGGAUAAACUCUCCUUUUUGGUUUCUUUCUAUUCACGUGUUUCAGCUCUCGUACAACUGCGGUCUUUCGUACGAAAAUGCCGAUAAAAACGUUUAUGUUUGGGUUACACACGGUGAAACACCGCAACACCGAUCGAUGCUUCUCAAAGGACGGGGAGAUACAAAAAAGAAAAACGUUCAAUGGAGUAUAUUUUACAACGUGCAAAAGAGUGAAACAAUUUUUUUUUUAAUUUGAAAUAGUAGUUUUAAUGAAUGCUCUUCGCUGCUGUACUCUUAGAAUUGUGCAUUUUACGUAAAAACGGAUUUCUCUUAGCGUGCCCAUAAUAUGCAUAGGUAUUAUUUAAUCUGAAAUUUACAAAGAGACGUUUUUUAAAUUACUGCAUUAUAUACAUUAUGUGGUUAUUCACACAUACAUUUUGGAUAUAAUUUCUACCUUUUUUUCAUUGAUUUUUGAUUUUAACUACAUUUUAACUACUCAUUUUUACUACAUUUUCUUUUUAAUUUUGUGGUAUAUUUUAUAUAUUCGUCCACUGAUGCUGAUUUCAUCAUCUUAAUACUAUACAACACAACGUUUACCCAGUCAAGAGCGAUCAGGUUUUGAAAGGGAUUUAUUAGUAACCAAAUACGAACGUUAAAUUUCAAUGUAUUAAUAAUUGGAUCGUAUUUCGUGUUAAAAAGUCUGACAGUUCUCGCCUUUUCUACUUUCUGUUCUAGUCACGAAAUUCCAUAGUAUUUUAACUAUUUAAUCUACAAAAUUUGUUUAAAAAUCUGUGUUUUUUUCAACAUUUUGCUCGUUUUUCUUUUCUCUCUGGACUCGUUCGAUUUUUUUCUAACGGCGAUUUCAAAAAUAUUGGUAGAAACUGCCCACGUGUUUCAAGAAUAUCAAUCAAUAUUCAAUUUCUUAAAGUAAUUUUUAUAUAUUAUAUUUCAAAAUAUUUUUAACUGCUAUAUAUUACGAAAGAAACCGUGAAAAAAAGAUUGAUGUGAGCCGGAUAUAUCUGGCGGAAUCUAUGAUACCAUGAUAAAAAUGGCAACUGAAGUACACCCACAAGGAAAAAUAUUGUUUAGUAGUAGAUGAGAAGAUUUUAUAAGAAAAUGAGAGAUUGAUAAAAGCGAUAGACUCAAGAUUUAAUUCAAGCAAAGUAACCGAACUUUGAGGAAGAUUUAGAAAAGUUAGUUUUACGAGAUAGCCUUAAAAACCGGAAACAAAAUAUCAGUUAUAAAUCCCGCAGUUGCAUAACUUAAAAUUAUUAAAUAUAAUGAAUUCUUUAUAUAUAUAUAUAAAAAAAAAUAUAUAUAAAUACGAUUUUCAACAUUUUGACGUCACUAUGGAAAUCGCUAUACGGUUAUAAUGUUCGUUGUCCUAGUUGGACGUUCAGUGGUUGAUGGUCGAUACAAUGUAUAGCACCAAAAGUAUCCAGGAAGAAUGUUUAUUCGUUUCUGUCGUUUAUUACAGAACAUGGAUUAGGCCUACUGGGGAAACCAUGUAAAAAAAAACGCGCCUAACAUUCUACCUCAGAGGUGGUGAGGAAAUGAAUGUAUCACGAUAUUAUUACAAAAUUUGUUUAACCCUGUGUGGUUAAGGCCCCGUGUAGAAAAUUAUCAAAUAUUAUUAGAAACAAUAAUAAGAUAAUAUAUUUACGAAUAAUUUAAUUUGUAUAUUCACUGAUAAAAAUUAAUUUGUCAUAAUAAUAAAGACAUAAUAUAAAUAGCCACAAGCCCACGAAUUUUAUUCAUAAUAUCUACUUAGGUACUACUUGGGACUACCUAUCUGUUAUUAAAGUUUAAAAGAUAUUUGGCUAUUAAAAUACUUUUCGAAUAAAUCAAAUUUUAAAACCGUAACUAUUAUAGCCUUACAAUUUAACCAUGUAUAAUAGAAGUGUUUAUUUGAUAACACAUUUCCUUUAUAAGCCAUCUGGGAGGUUAUGUUCUCAAGGGCGAAGGGAAAUGGGAUAUGAGAGAUCGUGACGCCCCGUCAUUGUAAUGAUAUAUAAACGUAUUUUUGACCCAUGCACCCAUUUUGAUAUAUCUUUGAUAACAAGAGAAACUCAUCUAAUUUAAUAUAUAUUGGAUAAAAGUAAAAGUUCAUGAAACGUAAAUGAAAGCAGCAUCAAUAGUGUACGUGAAUACAACGAGAAUUGGUUAAAAAUCAAGGACCAGAUCGCUCUGGUUAAGAUAGACACUUUUGGCCGCAUUCAGUUAAUAUAGGUAACCGAAAUGGCUCUGCGCCAUGCUUCAGAAAAGGUAGGCAACGUAGUUGACUCGUCACCGUUUCAACUAUAGAUAGGCAAUUAGCAUUCGAACUACUUUUUACACCAGCUGGACGGCCGACGGAUACGAUUACAACGGUGACGACGACAAUGAUGCGGACAACACAUAGAAAUGUAUAGGCGACGAAGGAAAGACAUUCGAUGUUGUUACGUACGGAAAAAAGGAACGAUGAGGUGGAAUAUUGGAGGACCAGCUAAAGAUCAGUGAUGCAAUGACAUCCGAAUGGACGGUCUGUCAGAUUACCUUUAAAAUUAAUAUUACAAAUAAAAUAUUAUGACCCGUUCUGAAGGUGAACUGCUGGGCGUUUGACUCCGGUUCGGCGAAAUACGAAAUUGGACAAACUGUGUAGCCACGACAUCCAACACACAAUGGUCAGCUGUGUAUUUAUGUUUUAAUUCUGGCACGACACUCGAUCUUUGGGCAAACGAGUGGCAAACCAAAUAAUUCAACAACAGUCGACAGAGAGGUCCGGAGAUUGACCAAUGGACGGCGGGAAACAGGACGACGAUGAAUUAUUUAUCAACCGUGAGAAGACUAUGUUCGUGCUCAGUGGCGCAAUUUGAUAACUAGGGGCCCAUGUGAACAUUUCCAGACUGGGGCCCUUAUACUUGCUAAUAAAAAUGAAAAACAAACAUACCUUAUUAUUAUAAUUCUAAAAAAUACGGUUUUUUCACAUGUCAUUGUUAAUAAUUAUUAUUAGUUAUACAUUAUAUGACUUACACUUAUAUACGCUAACAUAAUUAUGUAUAAUAAUAUAGUAUAACAAUAAUGUAAAAAGUUUCAAUUAUAAUCUAUAUACUCUAUACCUACCCAUAUUCCGAUGUCCGGUACCUAUAAAGUAUGCGGUACACAGGUUUCUUACAUAGGUACUCGUAAGACGUAAUUCAAAUUAUCCAUAACUCGAAAGAAUAAAGACAUUAUUAUUUAUUGUUAUUGAAACAAAUAAUAUAAUAUUUGCAGGGGAGACGGGGGCACAUUAAUACAAUAGAUAACAGAGAAUAAAAUUUAGCGGUUCAUACCGAUAUGCAACGAUAUACGUACUGUUAAAUGUAACGUUUUCAUUCUGUAGCGAUUUGAUACUAAUAACCUGAAUCAUGUUUAUCAAUAUUUUUUGUAAUUUUGCCAUCAAAACGAAAAAAAAAAUGAGGUAGGUCUAUAGGUGGAAUAUUAGGAAUAUCGUAUAUGAGAUCUCGCCAGCCCCCUCCUAAAAAAAAAAACCGGAGGCCCCUGUGAAUUGCACACUCAACACUUCCGAUAAUUGCGCUACUGUUCGUGCUCGGUCCAUCGCGUGAAAGAAUUUACGGAAAGAUAAUAGAUAAUAAAACGAAAUGGGCGUUACAUGAAAUAGUAAAAGAAACGAAUUUUAUUGCCAGAAAUUAUGUUUAUAUUUUUAAGUGACAAACUGACAACUAAAUAGGUAAAUACAGGGUGUCCCACGAGGAUUUGACAAAUGCAAUUAUUUUUGUUCUAUUCAAUAUUUUUGAUAUAUUUUGUUUUUAAAUAAUUAGUAAGUAUGCCUCUGUGUUACAGUUUAUGUAUAAACAUUUUUUUUUUUUUUAAGGAGAGGGGAACCUAAAAUAAAAAAUUUAAUAUUUGACUAUAAUUUUUUUUAAAAACUUCAAAAUAGUAAUAUUACAAAAUUGAUUUUUUGGCAAUUCUUGGUAGGUUGUAACUUUUGUUAAAGCAUGGUCUUUUAUUUUCUACAAUUUUUUGAAAAUUCGAAUGAUAUUCUUUUCAAUCAUAACAAUAUUAUUAUAUAAUACAAUAAUAUCAAAACAAAUAACCAUUGUUGAUUGAUUGAUACUACCUAAUACAUAUAAUAUGAUAAUGUUAUUGCAUGAUAUUAACUCAUGUAAAAGAAAAUCAUUAUCAUGUGCACUAACUAAUAACUGAUUAAAUACUGUAAUAUUCAUAUUUGCAAAAACUUCAAAAAAUCGUAGAAAAUAAAAGACCAUACUUUAACAAAAGUUUCAACCUCCAAAAAUUAAAAAAAAACCAAUUUUCUUUUAUUAUUUUCGGAACAUUUGAAAGAAGUCAUUUUUCUAAAAAUUUUGACGUUUCAAAUUUUUAUUUUCAUUAAUUUCUUGAUUUUUAAUAAUUUUUUAAGGUCCAGAGAAAAAUUAUGUCGGUACAGUCAAUGAGCUGUAAUAAUAAAAGUUAUGUAAUAUUAAUUAUUAUUCCGAUUACCUAAUUUGUUUUACUAAUGAUGGCUAAUUUUAACAAUUGUCUUUUCUACAUAAUAUCAUAUGGGAUCACACAGUGAUCCCACAUAAUCAGAAAAACUGACGAAAAACGGGAAAAUGUACGAAAUAUAUUAUUAAAAUAUAACAAUUUUUUUUUCUGUGCACAACUUUUCGACCAACAAUUUUGCACCAAUUUUUUAAUGAAAGCAAUUAUUCUAAAAGAAAAUUCAACUGGAGAGGUACUUUAAAGAGGUUAUUUUCUGAUUUUCUUAGGAGUUAUCCCAUCAAAUUUGAAGAACUGAAAAAAAAGGGGGAAAUAUAAAAGAGGUAUUAGUUAGGUUAUUAGUUAGGUAUUGGUUAAAAUAUAUUAUGAUUUAUUUUUUUCGCGCACAACUUUUCUACCAGUAAUUUCGCGCCAAUUUUAAACGAUAAAACGAUAGCAAUGUUUCUAAAAGGAAAUCAAACUGGGGAGAUAAAGUACCUAGGAAGGUCAUUUUUUGAUUUUCCAAUUAAUUUUCAUAAUAUCAAUAAAACUCAGGAUAAAACGUAAGAAAAACGAGGAAAUUUACGAAAAUAAUGAUUUUAUUAUUUUCAAUUUUGUUUUUUGUUGUAAUUAAGUUUAAAAUAUCUAUAGAGACUUGAAAUUUGGAUAGAAGACUUAUGUAUGCCUUUUUUUGACGUAGUAAAACUGUUGAACAAUUUAUAGACAUUUUAUUUUUUAUAAUUUUGUGAGUUUUGUAUGUAAUUUUUUUUCGGUAGGUACUUUGUGGAUACAAUUGUUAUAUCAAAAUGAAAUGCUUGAUAAUUGAAUAUGAGAUUCAUAAAAAGUCGUACUCUGUGGUAAAAAAAAAUGUUGAGCAGUGGCUAACUGGCUUAUGACAUUUAAUAUUCAUUAAAAUGAUAACAUUAAUAUAGACAAUAUUAUUGAUCAAACCACUUGCAAAAAAAUACUUAAAUAAUAGUAUUUUUGACUUGGUCAUCUAAGUUUUAUUAAUUGUUAUUAUAAUUAUUUUUGUUAUUCAUAUUAUCAUUAUUUAAUUAUUAUUUAUUUUAUGUGAAAAAAAAAUUAACUUUUAAAUUGUAGUUUUUUACUGUAAUUGUACAAUAUAUCUACAUUAUACAGUUUUUUAUAUACGUUAUAUAAGUAAUAUAAGUUAAAAUGACAGCAGACAUGAAGGUUUUAAGUUUUUGUUGACCAAAGCGGUGGUAUUCAAGAGUAAAAAUUGUUUGCUAUUUUCUUUAUGGUUAUUAUAUUUAUUAAUUAAUAAUAAUAAUAAAAAAAAAAAAAAACAAUAAUAAAAACCAUUAUUUUAUUUUAUUCCUUAUCCC